GGAAUUUUGUGCUAUGGUCCGUCAGAUUUUUAUAUACACAAAAGAGGAGGUCCAGAAGAUGGAUUCAAGUACCUUGAACCCAAAAAAUGAAGAUUGUCCUGAUAUGAAAGAGAAUGUCAAGGAAAUAAAAGGCAGUCAAUCUGCAUCAUCAUCUAAUUCAAAAAACUCAUAGGCUUAUCCUGCAAUGAUCUUGAAGCACAAACAAAGUGAUUGUUUGUGCUUUAUCUAAGUGAUUGUUUGAACAGUUUUAUAGCAUGCAUCUUGACAAUUAAUAUAAUUUGGAAGAUCACUAUCAAGGAAGAAUGUUCAAAGGAAAGUAAAGGCUAAGGAGAAGAUCACGUAAUUAACUACACGGGUCUAGCGAAAAUACUGAAGAAGUAUGACAAGAGAACAGGAGCACUUAUCAGGC